AGACCUAGUUUCUCGGCCGCGGGCCCAGCGCCGGGAGCUGGUCCGGGAGGGAGAACGCGCGCCCCGGCCCGGGUUCACUGGCCCCAGCGUGUCGGGGGACUCCACGGUGCGGAAAAGCCCGGGGGUCAGGGGACAGUUGGGCUCGCGGGGACCACAGCACUGGCACCUCCCUGACUCAGAGGACGCCCAGUCAGGUGGGCCCGGAGCACCGGGGGCUCCCGAAGUGGGGCCUGAUGGUGCCCAGGAGCGCUGACCUCAGGAGGCCUGAGUCCGUUUGUCAUUGCCCGGAUAGAAUAUACGCUCUUUCUUUUCACAAAGCCCUCACAGGAAACCUUGUUUAACUCUCCCUCUAACUGCCACCUUUUUACUUUGUUGUGGAAACAAAGAUAUGAAUGUUUAGUGCAAAGCACAAACAUCAUGCCGUUAAUACACUUCCAGACAGAAUCAUUACAAGAAAAUGAUCUCAGUGUUCAUGAUUUUAGCUGUUGUUAUUUAGGGAAUAUGAUUAAUUUGGUUUAAAAGAAUACUAAUGAUCUUGUGAAUUUGAAGACAGUGUCAAAGCCCUGGAUUUAUUAUACUGAAAUUAUUAGAUGGACUUUUACUGUUUUUAUAAUAAUAUUAUUUUGCUAGAGGUAGACGUAAAAAGUUGAACACAAGCAAGUUAACCCAAGCUGUUAAAUUUAAAAAAAGUUUAAAUUUGCAUGAAUCAUCUUUAGAACUAUAUUUAAGAAUCGAUGUUUAGUACUAAUAAUCUAUAAUUUAGUAACUUGAAUCUUACGUGUCUUCCAUACUUGCAGGUAUGAUAAAGAAGAGUCGUAUCAGCUGAGCAGUCGUGAUUGUGAUUACGUCCCUGGUUGACUCAUGAAUAGGCUUUGUAAUGGAUCUUUGAUGCUACAUUUGAGCCUUUCUGGACAUCGGGAUUAUGGAUUAAAAGC
rnacentral:lncRNA from 1 species